GAUGAACGCUAGCUACAGGCUUAACACAUGCAAGUCGAGGGACCGGCGCACGGGUGAGUAACACGUAUCCAACCUGCCCUUUACUCGGGGAUAGCCUUUCGAAAGAAAUAUUAAUACCCGAUAUAAAGGAUGGGGAUGCGUUCCAUUAGGUUGUUGGUGAGGUAACGGCCCACCAAGCCUUCGAUGGAUAGGGGUUCUGAGAGGAAGGACCCCAAAAUUGGAACAGAGCCACGGUCCAAACUGCUACGGGAGGCAGCAGUGAAGAAUAUUGGUCAAUGAGCGCUAGCCUGUACCAGCCAAGUAGCGUGAAGGAUGAAGGCUUAUGGGUCGUAAACUUAUAGAAUAUAAGAAUAUGGAUUAUAUGAAUAAGGAUCGGCUAACUCCGUGCCAGCAGCCGCGGUAAUAC
rnacentral:rRNA from 1 species